AUUGAACGCUAGCGGGAUGCCUUACACAUGCAAGUCGAACGGAGUGGCGGACGGGUGAGAAAUAUAGCGGAACGUGCGCAGUAGGGGGGGAUAACUACUCGAAAGAGUGGCAUAUAACGCAUCAUCUUGGAGCGGCCGAUAUCGGUUUAGCUAGUUAGUGGGGUAAAGGCUCACCAAGGCAACGAACCGUAGCUGGUUUGAGAGGACGACCAGCCACACUGGGACUGAUACACGGCCCAGACUCCUACGGGAGGCAGCAGUGGGGAAUUUUGGACAAUGGGGGAAACCCUGAUGCAGCCAUCCCGCGUGUAUGAUGAAGGCCUUCGGGUUGUAAAGUACUUUUAGCAGGGAAGCGGUAUCUGCAGAAUAAGCACCGGCUAACUACGUGCCAGCAGCCGCGGUAAUAC
rnacentral:rRNA from 1 species